rnacentral:snRNA from 1 species
GUGUUUUAGCACAUAUACUAAAAUUGGAACAAUACAGAGUAGAUUAGCAUGGUCCCUGCGCAAGGGUGACACGCAAAUUCAUGAAGCGUUCCAUAUUUUU